rnacentral:lncRNA from 1 species
ACUUGCUGAGCAGCCUGCGUAUGUGGUUGGCUCCUGGAGCCGAAUCCUGACCACAGAGAGAUAGCAGCCGCUGGCUCUCCUAGUACCCAGAGCGCCAGCUUCACCUGCCUCCACCAUCAGGAAUGAGCUCUGAGCCUCUGCUCCAGUCCAGGAGUCUCUGCUGCAGUGCCUGCCAGGAUCAUGGUAGGUACGAUAAUAUAAAGAAUGAAGAUAAUAUAAAGAAUGAAGUACGCAAUGAGGACAGUGAACCCUGGCUAAACAAGGGGCAAAUGCACUAUUUAGAGAGGACAGCUUCCUCCCAGGUCCAGCACAACACUUUCAAGACCAGAUGACCAUAGAAGUCUCUUAUGUGACUUUUCAACUUGUAGUUUUAUCUUGCUGAUUUUUUUUUCAAUAAAAAAUUGAGUCCAGAAG